AUAAUGGCUUUAUUAAAAGCCAAAUUGUAGAGCCAAUGGAGUCUAUU
rfam:Tauraco erythrolophus contig65039, whole genome shotgun sequence.